rnacentral:tRNA from 1 species
GAAGAUAUAGCUCAGUGGUAGAGUGCAUGCUUAGUAUGCACAAGGUCAUGGGUUUGAUCCCCAGUACCUUCA